rnacentral:rRNA from 1 species
ACCUACAGCCCUACCACCCUGAUCCCUGAAGCUAAGCUAAGGCUGAGCUUGUCCAGUACCUGGAAGGGAGACUGCCUAGGAACACUGGGGGCUGUGGGCU